rnacentral:rRNA from 1 species
GACGAACGCUGGCGGCGUGCUUAACACAUGCCAGUCGAACGGUGAAGCGCCUUCCUUUUUGGUGGGUGUGGAUGAGUGGCGAACGGGUGAGUAACACGUGAGUAACCUUCCCCCUCCUUCUGGAUAACCGCAUGACAGUGUGGCUAAUACGGGAUAUUCUGGGUCUGUCGCAUGAUGGGUCUGGGAAAGAUUUUGUUUCGGUGGGGGAUGGGCUCGCGGCCUAUCAGCUUGUUGGUGGGGUGAUGGCCUACCAAGGCGGUGAGGGGUAGCCGGCCUGAGAGGGUGGACGGCCACGGUGGUGAGGAGACACGGCGCAGACUCCUACAGGAAGCAGCAGUGAGGAAUACGGCACAAUGGACGGAAGGCUGAUGCAGCGACGCCGCAGGGAGGAAGGACGCCGGCGGGUUGUGAUCCUCUUUCGCGAGUGAAGCAAGGCGUCCUCGUUUGUGGGUGGGUUGACGGUAGCUGGAUAAGAAGCGCCGGCUAACUACGUG